UCGCGAUAGUUUUGAAACGCUUGACGGCGGCGUGAAGAUCAUUUCGCUUGCUCUCGUCUUCGGGGGCUGAACCUGUGCAGGGCCUAGGAACGUUUUAUAAUAAUUCAAAAUGUCCAAAAUGCAGCGGACAAUCUGUGUUAUAUUACUCUCUUUCGUCUGUGCUUACGACCAUAAGCAGGCGGUCUGAUAUAGUCGCGUGGCAGCAAUGACUUCUGCAGUCAGUGGGGUCGUGGGCAGCCAUUUUCAAUUUACUACGCAUCGUCUUUGAGGCAUAAAAGUAUUAACAUGAAAGGAAACAGCUGCACCGGGCAAUUUUUUUCUGCUUGUUUUCCUUUGUGCCACAGUGGACUAAGGGCCUUACAUGAAAAUUGAAACCCAGCUUAUUGAUUUUCAAGUGUGCAGAUCAGGAUUCCUAAUGUCAAACGUUACCCUUUUGUGGCUUUUCGAAGGAUGAACAAGUGGAAGAAUAUUUGCUGAAUGAUCCGAUCAACAGCUGGGCUCGUGAUGAGAAAUGGAUUGAUUCAUCAUUAGUGUGGAAAAGCUGCUCCAAGGAAAAUGUCUUACCUCAUCAAAAGCUGAACUGCACAGUGUAGAGAAAGGUUUCCGUUUGGGCUGGUGUAUAGAGAGGAUUCUACCAGCGUUUAAAAAAAGAUUCUUGUUAAGCUGCUGACACAGGGUUUAUUGUUAGGAAACAUGACAGUGUCCUGGGUAUGACAGUCAACACAGAAGGUGAUAUACGAGGAAACAACAUCAGCCAGGUCAUUGAGAUUGUCGCUGGAGUCAUAGAAAACCUGCCGGUCAGUGCAGUCAAAGCACCCCUGCAGGCAUAGCUUGCUCUCUUCUGUCCAGCACUUUAUGGUAGCAAGCACGGAUUUAGAGAGUUGGGUGUGGGGGAGUUCACUUCCUUUCUUGAUUUGGACCCCAACACAAAUUCGUACUUCUGCUCUCUUUAUUAGGAUGUUAAAAACGAUGAAAUUAUUGAAGAAUACUGUCGAAUAUGAAGAAUACUGUAAAAUGUUGAAUAUGAAAAGUACCGUAAAAAGUUGCUGAAAAAAGUUGCCCUUAAUUAGGUCUCUGUACAGGCCACAACAACCACUUGACAGUUACCAUCAGCUGUCCAGACCGGACCAGGUCGCUAUCUUCCGCCUCAGGACCGGGCACAACAGGCUGCUUCACCACCUACACAGGAAGUUACAC